CGCGCAUCCGCCCCGUCCAGGAGAGACCGCGCCGCCGCCUCGCCCAGGUGGCACAGGGUGAGGAGGGAGAGGGCGGUGCGCGCCGGGACGCCGCCGCGGACCGAGUACACGCCGACCCAGAAGAAGGCACACGCGAGGAAAGCAUCUAGAUGCUGAUGGGAGAAAGAAAGGGGACCUCUGCAGUGAAAUCCCCCUAAUAGCUCACUGGGUGCCGUCCAGCUUCACUGCGACUCACCAGCAUCACUCUCUCAGUGGCAGAAAACAGAGGCCUGGUCCUGUCCAUCACCUCUCAAGGUGCCGGGCACAGAUUUCAGUGUUUCACACAGGAUGCAGGAGACAAUGUCUAGCGAUGCACAAGCAUCUGUCUUCCGUGUAGAUGUGGUGGUUACACUCACGCUGUGUGACAUCGUUGGUCAUCCUCUGGAUGUUAGAGUCAAUACAUGUGUGGGGCAAAAGGAUGCCCAAAAACAACAAUAUCUGCGAGGUGACGUCAAAUGAAACGGCUCGUGUUAUUCUGGCUGGAAACGUCCAGUCCAGAUGUGUUGUAUCUGGAACAAUCCGCUGUUAUUAAAAGUGAAAACCAACAGCUUCCUUUCCAGAAGGUUGUCAAUGGCCAGGAAGUCUAAAGCCCAUCAUAACCCGCGUGCCUUUCCUAUAGAGCCCAUCAUUUCCUGGUCCGGAUGCGGUGUGCAGCCGAUGAAGAUGAAUCACCUCAGGUCUCUGCAGUCGCGUUCAGCAACUCGGGACACGAUCAUUGCACCAAAUGAGUCAGGUGUCCUCACCAACAGGUUCAGAGGCGAUUCUGAAUUACCGGUAGGAAUGUGAACGCCCCGGGGGGGCUCUCUCUGCCGUGUUACCCUAUUUGGCAACGUCACGGUCCAUUGUAAAGGAGGAAUCCUUUAUGAGGAGCCAUUCACGGGACAUCUGGUUUGGAUGUUGCAUGGGGGGCAGUCAUGUGACCUGCAGCGGCCUCUGGGCUUGUGGCUGACAGAUGGGAUCUAUACAUGAGCCUCAAUUUCCAAAUUCAUUUUACAGCGCCAAUAACAUUAAACCACGUCAUCGCGCAGCCUCCCCAACUUUGAUCUAAGUUUAGAGUCCCAUCCGAUUUCCAGAGUUAUGGACACUUUGGAAAACGCAGGAGCGCCAUAGACGAACAUUUUACACUUUGGAAGGAAUUUUAGCUUCAAACACUGUAAAUCCCACCCACAGACUGGACCUGUUAGCUGAAGACAAGCUGAAGCGAUCACUAACAGACAACAACACUAAAAUAACACAUUCUAACUAAAAACACUCCAAUUAAAACAUAUUCCAACUAAAAGAACCUUCAAGCAAAAAUGUCAGUAGAGUAACUUCUGAAAUCCCACAAGCUGUGACAUCAUCAGCCAAUUUAGCUAAUCAAUUAAACCCAGUUGAAGUAAAUUGGAAGUUUGUUCCAUGUUGUGAUUGACUUCUCCCGGCUGCACAAGUUGCACAAGAGCACGUUUAAUUUAUGCUCGAUAUCAGUAACUACUGUAUACGACUCUACACUAACGGCAGCUGUUUUAAGUCACUGCCAAUGAAUUUAACAGGGCACAAACGCAGACUGAGCAAACGUUAUUAGCUGUACGUUUACACAAAUCAUUCUAGACAUUUGACAAUUAUAGAUGUGAUUUCAAAGACGCAGGAAGUGAGCAGUGGAACCAAGUGCUAGAGAACAGUUGACAUUGUGUUUGGCAGCCGUGCACAGUGAGAUCCGCCGCAGCGUUUAGCAGCCGACGCGGCCGAGUUUCCACCGAGCCGCGGACGCCCCCCGCCACACGGGCCACCGGCACCGUCCACGCAGAAACGCACGUCCGGAACCAGCCUUCGCUACCGGCCACUGCUGGAAUCAACACGCGCUUCGGCUCAACAUUCAAACGCACCAUUGGUUUUUCCUCGUCUUGGUUUUUCUGAAAUUGACAAUUGAAUUAUUAUGUUAAUGCACGACUGUACAAGACAAG